ACCUACGGGAGGCAGCAGUUGGGAAUCUUGCACAAUGGGGGAAACCCUGAUGCAGCGACGCCGCGUGGAGGAUGAAGGAUCUAGGUCUGUAAACUCCUUUUUCAGGGAAAGACUUAGGACGGUACCCUGAGAAUAAGCACCGGCUAACUACGUGCCAGCAGCCGCGGUAAGACGUAGGGUGCGAGCGUUGUCCGGAUUUACUGGGCGUAAAGAGCGCGUAGGCGGCUCGUUAAGUGUGAAGUGAAAUCUCCAGGGCUCAACCCGGAAACUGCUUUACAUACUGGCGAGCUGGAGUGAUGCAGAGGUUUGUGGAAUUCCUGGUGUAACGGUGAAAUGUGUUGAUAUCAGGAGGAACACCCAUGGCGAAGGCAGCAAACUGGGCAUCAACUGACGCUGAGGCGCGAAAGCGUGGGUAGCAAACAGGAUUAGAUACCCCGGUAGUCCU
rnacentral:rRNA from 1 species